rnacentral:rRNA from 1 species
AAUUAAUACAAAUAAAAGUUUUUAUUUAGAGUUAAAAUUUAAAAAUUUAAAAAUUAUUAUUAAAUUUAUUAGGUUAAAUUUUAAAUUUAUAAAAUUAUUUUUUUUAAAAUUAUUUUAAGCUCAGAAAUUUUUUUAAUAAACUAGGAUUAGAUACCCUAUUAUAAAAAAUGUAAAUUAAUAAAAAUAGAGUAGUAUUAGUUAUAUUCUUAAAACUUAAUAAAUUUGGCGGUGUUUUAAUCUAUUCAGAGGAACUUGUUUUAUAAUUGAUAAUCCUCAUUAUAUCUUACUUAAUUUAUUAAUUUGUAUACCAUCGUCAUAAGAAUCUCUUAAAAAAGAAAUAAUUUUCUUGAUAAUUUAUUAUUUAAAAUGUCAGAUCAAGGUGCAGUUUAUAAUUAAGAAAAAAUGAGUUACAAUAAAUUUAUUUAUAUGGAUUUUAAAUUUAAAAAUUUAAUUGAAAGUGGAUUUGAUAGUAAAAUAAAUUAAAGAGUUUAUUUGAUUUUAGUUCUAAAAUAUGCACAUAUCGCCCGUCGCUCUCGUUUUUAGAAUGAG